GACGAACGCUGGCGGCGUGCUUAACACAUGCAAGUCGAAUGAAGUGGCGAACGGGUGAGUAAUACGUGGGUAACCUGCCCUCCUUUGUGGGAUAAACCUUGGAAACGGGGUCUAAUACUGAAGAAAGGGGUAUGGGCUCGGGGCCUUUCAGCUUGUUGGUGGGGUGAUGGCCUACCAAGGCGGUGACGGGGGGCCGGCCUGAGGGGGUGACGGGGCACGUUGGGACGGAGAUACGGCCCAGACUGCUACGUGGGGCGGCAGUGGGGGAAAUGAGACAAUGGGGGAAGGGCUGAUGCGGCGACGCCGCGUGGGGGAUGAAGGCUUAAGGGUUGUAAAAUUCUGUCGCUAGCGAACGGGUAGGUGAAGAGGAAGCGCCGGCUAACUACGUGCCAGCAGCCGCGGUAAUUC
rnacentral:rRNA from 1 species